UACAGAGGUCUCAACCGUUGUUCGGAUUUACUGGGCGUAAAGGGCGCGUAGGCGGCCACCGCAAGUCGGUUGUGAAAUCUCCGGGCUUAACCCGGAAAGGUCAAUCGAUACUGCGGGGCUAGAGUGCAGAAGGGGCAACUGGAAUUCUCGGUGUAGCGGUGAAAUGCGUAGAUAUCGAGAGGAACACCUGCGGCGAAGGCGGGUUGCUGGGCUGACACUGACGCUGAAGCGCGAAAGCUAGGGGAGCGAACGGG
rnacentral:rRNA from 1 species